GAAGGUGGCUAGCGUUAUUCGGAUUCACUGGGCAUAAAGCGCGCGUAGGCGGCUCUUCAAGUCGGUGGUGAAAGCCCGCAGCUCAACUGCGGAACAGCCUUCGAUACUGUCGAGCUUGAGUGCAGGAGGGGUGAUCGGAACUCCAGGUGUAGCGGUGAAAUGCGUAGAUAUCUGGAGGAACACCGGAGGCGAAGGCGGAUCACUGGACUGCCACUGACGCUGAGGCGCGAAAGCUAGGGGAGCAAACAGGAUUAGAUACCCUGGUAGUCCUAGCUGUAAACGAUGGGUACUAGGCAGCGGGGGCCCGAUGCUCUCGCUGUCGAAGCGAAUGUGCUAAGUACCCCGCCUGGGGAGUACGGCCGCAA
rnacentral:rRNA from 1 species